rnacentral:lncRNA from 1 species
UUUCUGUUCUUAUCAAUUACAGAGGGAUAUGUUCUAUUUGUAGGCGGAGCCUUCCAACAUGUGGGCUCCACCUUCUUAUAAUUUACAACACUCCCCCUUGGAGACCACAAAUAGUAUGGAAUAUGUCUCGUUAAAAACCUUGCCAGUAAAAACCCAGUGGGACAAAAACUGGUCGAAGGGAAAAAGAGUACAUAACCAUGCGUAACAUAAAAUUCUGUGUAUAUUGACAUGCGUGCAACACUGCCUCGUUAAAACCUUGCCAGGAAAAAACCCAGUGGGAUAAAAACCUGGACGAAGGAAAAAGAGUACAGUGUGGAAAGGUCUGUAUUGAUGGCACGCUCCCCCUGAUGCUUGGCAGAAUAUCUUGAAGCCAUACUGUUGAUCAUCUGUCUGAAUAUCAUAGUUGACACUGCUUCUGUGAGUCAAUCUU